GUACAUUUCUCGCUUCGGCGGUACAUAUACUAAAAUUGGAACGAUACAGAGAAGAUUAGCAUGGCCCCUGUGC
rnacentral:snRNA from 1 species